AGAGUUUGAUCCUGGCUCAGGACGAACGCUGGCGGCGUGCCUAACACAUGCAAGUGGAGCGACGAACCGGGCUUCGGCCGGGGCAAAGCCGCGAACGGGUGAGUAACACGUGGGUAACCUGCCCUGAUGAUUGGGACAACCCGAGGAAACUCGGGCUAAUACCGAAUGUGCCCUCCGACCUCAAGGUCGCUGGGGAAAGGAAGCUUCGGCCUCCGCAUCGGGAUGGGCCCGCGGCCCAUUAGCUUGUUGGUGAGGUAACGGCUCACCAAGGCAACGAUGGGUAGCUGGUCUGAGAGGACGAUCAGCCACACUGGGACUGAGACACGGCCCAGACUCCUACGGGAGGCAGCAGUGGGGAAUCUUGCGCAAUGCGCGAAAGCGUGACGCAGCAACGCCGCGUGGGGGAAGACGGCCUUCGGGUUGUAAACCCCUUUCAGUUGGGACGAAGCUUCGGCGGUGAAUAGCCGUUUGGAGUGACGGUACCUUCAGAAGAAGCCCCGGCUAACUACGUGCCAGCAGCCGCGGUAAUACGUAGGGGGCAAGCGUUGUCCGGAAUCAUUGGGCGUAAAGAGCGUGUAGGUGGCUCGGUAAGUCCGCUGUGAAAGUCCAGGGCUCAACCCUGGAAUGCCGGUGGAAACUGUCGAGCUAGAGUCCGGAAGAGGCGAGUGGAAUUCCUGGUGUAGCGGUGAAAUGCGCAGAUAUCAGGAGGAACACCAAUGGCGAAGGCAGCUCGCUGGGACGGUACUGACACUGAGACGCGAAAGCGUGGGGAGCAAACAGGAUUAGAUACCCUAGUAGUCC
rnacentral:rRNA from 1 species